UACGUAGGGUGCGAGCAUUAAUCGGAAUUACUGGGCGUAAAGCGUGCGCAGGCGGCUUUGCAAGACAGAUGUGAAAUCCCCGGGCUCAACCUGGGAACUGCAUUUGUGACUGCAAGGCUAGAGUACGGCAGAGGGGGAUGGAAUUCCGCGUGUAGCAGUGAAAUGCGUAGAUAUGCGGAGGAACACCAAUGGCGAAGGCAAUCCCCUGGGCCUGUACUGACGCUCAUGCACGAAAGCGUGGGGAGCAAACAGG
rnacentral:rRNA from 1 species